CUUGUAGUUGUCACAUAGCUGCCC
rnacentral:siRNA from 1 species